AACGAACGCUGGCGGCAGGCUUAACACAUGCAAGUCGAGCGCCCCGCAAGGGGAGCGGCAGACGGGUGAGUAACGCGUGGGAACGUACCUUUUGGUUCGGAACAACUCCGGGAAACUGGAGCUAAUACCGGAUAAGCCCUAACGGGGAAAGAUUUAUCGCCGAAAGAUCGGCCCGCGUCUGAUUAGCUAGUUGGUGAGGUAACGGCUCACCAAGGCGACGAUCAGUAGCUGGUCUGAGAGGAUGAUCAGCCACCCUGGGACUGAGACACGGCCCAGACUCCUACGGGAGGCAGCAGUGGGGAAUAUUGGACAAUGGGCGCAAGCCUGAUCCAGCCAUGCCGCGUGAGUGAUGAAGGCCUUAGGGUUGUAAAGCUCUUUUGUCCGGGAAGAUAAUGACUGUACCGGAAGAAUAAGCCCCGGCUAACUUCGUG
rnacentral:rRNA from 1 species